rnacentral:rRNA from 1 species
UACGUAGGGGGCGAGCGUUGUCCGGAGUUACUGGGCGUAAAGGGCGUGCAGGCGGUGCGGUAAGUUUAGCGUGACAGUCUCCGGCUUAACUGGAGAAGGCCGCUGAAAACUGCUGGACUUGAGGGCCAGAGAGGGACAUAGAAUUCCGGGUGGAGUGGUGAAAUGCGUAGAUAUCCGGAGGAAUACCAAAGGCGAAGGCAGUGUCCUGGCUGGCAACUGACGCUGAGGCGCGAAAGCUAGGGGAGCGAACGGG